rnacentral:rRNA from 1 species
CACGCCGUAAACGAUGGGUACUAGGUGUUGGGUGUCAAAGCUCAGUGCCGCAGUUAACACAAUAAGUACCCCGCCUGGGGAGUACGUUCGCAAGAAUGAAACUCAAAGGAAUUGACGGGGACCCGCACAAGCGGUGGAGCAUGUGGUUUAAUUCGACGCAACGCGAAGAACCUUACCAAGGCUUGACAUCCCUUGACGGUCUAAGAGAUUAGAUUUUCUUUUCGGAGACAAGGAGACAGGUGG